GGACAUUUGGUAAGACCUUAGAAUUGGAAACAAGUUGUCUCCACGGGUAAAUCGGCUCAUUUUCAAGGUCAAACAUGCACCAGAGCAGAAAUGGAUUCAGUUGGUCCUUCGGGCAAACCAACCUAUUCUCAAGGUCAAACGAGCCCUAUAAUAGACCUUAGAAAUGGAGCAAUUUGGUCUCUACGGGAAAACCAACCCAUUUUCAAGGUCGAAUUAGGCCAAGAGCAG